UACAGAGGGUGCGAGCGUUAAUCGGAAUUACUGGGCGUAAAGCGUGCGUAGACGGUUACAUAAGUCGGGUGUGAAAGCCCCGGGCUCAACCUGGGAAUUGCAUUCGAGACUGCGUAGCUAGGGUGCGGAAGAGGGAAGCGGAAUUUCCGGUGUAGCGGUGAAAUGCGUAGAUAUCGGAAGGAACACCAGUGGCGAAGGCGGAUCUCUGGACAAAUCCUGACGCUGAGGCGCGAAGGCUAGGGGAGCAAACGGG
rnacentral:rRNA from 1 species